AGCAGCCGCGGUAAUUCCAGCUCCAAUAGCGUAUAUUAAAGUUGUUGCAGUUAAAAAGCUCGUAGUUGAAUUUCGGGAUCAUCAGGUUGGUCGUGCCAAUGGUAUGUACUUGCCUUGAUGGUUCCUCCCUCUUGAAGAUCCGUAAUGUCAUUAAUUUGGUGUUGCGGGGAAUCAGGACUGUUACUUUGAAAAAUUAGAGUGUUUAAAGCAGGCAAACGCUUGAAUACAUUAGCAUGGAAUAAUGAAAUAGGACGUUUGAUCUUAUUUUGUUGGUUUCUAGGAUCGACGUAAUGAUUAAUAGGGAUAGUUGGGGGCAUUAGUAUUCAA
rnacentral:rRNA from 1 species